UAGAGAUAGGUGAUGUCGUGUGGUGUACGAUUACGUCACAGUGUACCUAGCGCAAUAACCAGUGCUUCAACGUUAUUCAUAAAAAGACCUGAUAUCCCACGUGAUACCCAAGUAUAUGUAUACCAGAUUUGGAAUGAAUUUUGUCUCGCAAGAUAUAAAAGUGGGCGUAUUGUAAUUUGACUGGUAUGGGUCUGUUUACAUGUUAUUGGUUCACAUAUUCUGCACAGUUUUUAUGAUUGGAGAACAAACACUCUGCAACAAUGUGACUUUUCUCUGGAUGUAGCUUCAUGGUAUGAUUUUCAUAUGCUUUCUGUGAUACCAACCCUGACUAAUUCGAAAUAUGUCUUCAGCGAAAACAGUAGCAAGACCAAAAGGUCAUCAUGCAACUAACACCAAAUCACGUCUAAGGCAAUUUAUAGCUGUUCCGGAAGGACUUUAUCAAGAAGAAGAAUCCAAAGUGUACACUGUCAUCUGCAUUGCCUUUGUUGGCGUAUCGUUGAUUGGAUUAAGCGCCGGAUUAAUUAUUUACGCACAGGAUGUGGCAAUUAGAGAUUUAGUGGUAAUUGGUGCUAUAGGAAUCUUUGUCGGAUUCGUAUCUUUAAUAGUGGCAUUAAUGUAUUUAGUGCAACCAAUCCUCGCACGACGUCAUCGGAACAGAAUAGCACAUAUGACAGACAGACAGAGGUAUACAAGAAACAUUUCUGUUGUUCAUCCAAAAAAUCAGGGAUCAGCUAAUGGAUAUAUCAAUAAUUAUAACAAUAUUAGUAUGGGCGAUGUUUCGCUUCAUUCUCAACCAAGUAACGCACAAUUAUAUGACGCAAAUGACGAAGUCACAAAAUUUUCUGACGUUGUACACAAACCAUUAACAAUUUCUGUUCCUUCAAUCAAUGAAAAAACACCAACAUAUAAUGUGGCUUUUAAUAAUGAAGAAACAGAAGAGAGUGCCUUAUAACAAAAUUUGUGCAUCCCGAAAACUUGUUGUAAACUAAGAGCAAAAGAUUUCGUACGACCUGGAAAUAUUUAAUUAUAAUAUAGACUGAAAGUGAUAAGUGAAAACUUUCUAUUAACCGCAAAUUUAGCAGAUAACAGUUAGUGGCGGUAUGAAGUCAAAGCUAUCCAUAAACAUUUUUUGUAGAACUGAAAUGGAGUCUAACGUCCUACUUUUCUGUACCAACUGGGCUAAUGAAGAAGGAUUUGUUUUAGAUAUAUUGUGUGCUACCCAUUAGUAGUCCGUUACGCGUAAGAUCUUUUUUGCCUCUAAAAGAGACGUAAUGAGAAGGUCGGGCAUAAAAAAAACCCCGAUAUCUUUAAUUGCCGAAAUAUCAUAGUAAAGCAAACCUAUGUUAUCGAUUUUUUUAAGGAAUCGUUUAACCCCGUGAGUGAGGAACACAAUUUCAACAUUAAGUAACCAACAUUUGGUGACAAGUAUCAUCAGCCCAUACCGUCCACUACCACAUUAGCUACCUUUGGUAAAGGAUUGGGCCGUGACUGUCGUAUUACUAGCAUGUUCCUGGAGCAACAACGGCGAGUUUUACAACUAAAUGGCCGGGAUUAACAAUCUACUUCCGGUUUCGCAGCAAUCAAAUACCUAGUGAUAGAGGAUAAUGUAUGACAUUUUAUUCACGGGGCUUGAUUGUCCGAAGACAAUUAUGUCUGGCUUGGCAUAUGGUUAGUAAAAUUAAUAGGAGAGAAACAUAUUUCUUAAAGAUACAUUAUGGGAGAUUAGAUAAAGAGCUGACAGUUCCCAUUAUAAUAGAUAGAAACUAGAUAAUAUAAAGGCAAUUUGCUGAAAAUUUCAGUCAAAUUGAUCCACUAUGAACCGAGAUUUUAGCGAUUGAAUUUUCGGCCUAGCCUCGGUCAUCAUUACUAAUGUCCGCACGAUAAAAACAUAGUCUCGAUUAUUCAUUUCAUGAUUAAAUUAUGAAUGGAAGCCGAACAGGAAAUCAGAACCUAAUCCAAUAAACAUCGCAGGCUAGCGAUGCCAUCGAGAGUUGAUUAUGGUCUGGAUAAGAUAAUUAAUGUCUAAUUAGUAAUUUAGAUAACAUUUCAGACCUAAAGAAAGACAUGCAUUAGGCAGAUUUAUCUCUUGCAUAAUGUAGGCCUAUGUUUAAUCUCAGAUAACAUUUUGUUUAUAAUCGACUGGAAACUUUAUCGCAAUACAUGGCCUCGGUAUUCCCUGGGUUCGUCCAGCGAAUUUCUUAUAGCGGGCCAUCUUGAUUUCUGUUUAUCGUGUGUUUAAUAUCCUUAUAGUGUGCUGAUUUAUAGUGUGCCAGGUUGAUCUCGGUCUUGUUCGCUCGAUUAUGGAAAAGUUUGCAAGAAAUUCAAUAUAAAAGAAGUGACAUGCACACAAAACGAUGUCAUACACAUCUUUUUGGUGGGAAAGAUGUUACUUUUAUGUCAGUCUUUAUGUAUUUUGAUUGGUCGAUAAAAAUUAGCAUAAACAUCAAUCCCUUUUCAGAUACAAAUCUGAAUAAAAUAUUGCUUAUAAAAAAGGGCAGAUAAUUUGAAUACUUGUCUCCUCCCGUGGAUGAACCGAGGGGUUAGUGGAGUGGAACGGAAUGAGACCACUGGGGAUAUGCCAUACUCCAUGUUAGUUUUUAAGUAGCGUCACUUCAUAUUUAUGUUUUAAAGAGAGAGAGAGAGAAAUGGGGUUUAACGUCCACUCGACACAAACUAGGUCAUUUCGGGACCAACAUAUGGUUUAAUUUUAUUUCAAUAAUUCGCUUCCGCGUAGGGGUCUUUAGCAGUGGGAGGAAACCGGAGGACCCGGAGAAAACCCACGAGGUUGGACAGGCAACCCUACUCCUUGUCACGUACAACCGGGGAUUCGAAACCACGCCAGUUGACUCAAUGACAGGCCUCGUGAUACAGCGCGCGCGUGCUAACCAUUCGGCCAUCCAACCCCCCUUUAUGUUUUAAAAGGACUGGUAAAGUCGCUUACCUCAGGCGUAACACAUCCCGAAUUGAAACUCGUAAAUUUUGAUAUUUGAACUAGAAUAUGUGUCUUUUGAAAUGUCGAACCACAUCACCCAAACCCCACCCAAAAAAAUCUUUGCCUUUAUAUUUGGACAGGUUAAAUAUAUGCCCAUUUCAGAAAGAGGGAGAGAGAGGGGGGGGGCUUCCAUACCCCAAGUUGUCACACUCUUAGUGUGUGUGAGGUCUGCAAUAUUUUAUAAUUUUUGAGUGGCAUUUAGCAAUUGCUAUAUUACAAACCCGUGAUUGUCUUUCCAGAUAAAUUGUGUUAUGUUCAAUAUUUUACUCCAAGUCGGCUUACCUCGAUAUAAAUACAGUCUUCUACUCUUCGUCAUUAUCUAUAUAUUUAUUUACUUUUUUGGCUCGAAAUUGCUUCUAUGGCCCAGGAAUUGCAACGUUCCAUUUGAAUGCGCAAAGUAUUGAUUUAUCAAACGAAACACUAUGGGUGGUAUGUUGCAUCGAUACAGUUUACACAAUAAAUUUGUCUUUUCAAAGUUUGUUAGAUUGACUCAAGAGCUAAUGCCUUUUACAACCAAUAAGAUUAUCUAUUAUUAAUAACUAUAAACAUAUUGUUACUAUACAUUUGAAAGAAACAAUGGCAUAAAUGAUUUGGUUAAAUAUAGUUUUUAAAAUAAAUGUCGAUCACCAGUGAACUCAAUGAACAGCAACGAAAAUGAAAUCUGGAAUGUGAGCUCGACAGUUAUAUUAAUUGUACUGGCUUCCAAAGAUAUAUACUGGAGCAUUGCCUUGUUUAUGUUAAUUUGUCUCUGUAGGUACUUGUAUCGUAAACUGUUUAAAACUAUUGGGAUAGAAUAGGGGCUGGGGAUGGGGGUCUAACGCGUGCGCUUUAGGUCAUAAGGUCUUCCAUUGAGUCAAGUGAUUGCCGGCGCAUCCUCGUGGAUAUUCUUGGGGUCCCCCAGUUUUCUUCCACGCAAGUGAGUUAUAGAAAUAAAAUGGUAGUCCUGAAAUAUCUGUUUUGUGUCGAGUGGAGACAAUGCAGACAGCCCCACAAGAAGAAUUUGCGUGCUCAGAUUUAUUAAGACUCCGUUGACGUCUAUAAAUAAGGUUAACUACAUAUUAUCAGAUCUUUGCAUUUAUAUAAAGCCGUGCUACGUCAUGCCGACCAAGAAACAAGUAUACCCAAGAAUUGUGAACGCUGUAAAUUAUUUAAUGUGGCUAUUUAAGGUAGCUAAUGGAUAUUGAUAGAUCGUCAAGAUAAGUAUCGAUUUAUUCCCUCAUUUUCCAUUUAACGAAGAAAAUGUUGAAGAAAGAAAUGGUGUUUAUUUUCUCAUUUGCAUAAUAUUUCUGCUUAAUUUUGACCUGCUCUACCAAUAAGUACACAAUACCUCGGCUUUUUGGGGUUUUUUUUUUUCUUUUCGACACACUAUUCUUGCAGGUCCAUGGGGUUGAAGCUACUUACCAUUUAGCUUGUAUUUAUAUUCACCAUAAUUGUACAUGUACUGCUGUAGAUUCAAACUGAUGUUUGAUUUAAUUUAUUAAUCUGUUUUAUCCAUGACGCAUGGUAGUUUUUGUAUAUUGUUAUGGGGUAUAUUUUUCACCUGUUUAAAAUGAUUAAAAUAUACUUUUAUAAUAUA